rnacentral:rRNA from 1 species
ACGGGUGAGUAACACGUGGGCAACCUGCCCUUGAGACUGGGAUAACUUCGGGAAACCGGAGCUAAUACCGGAUAAUAUAAGGAACCUCCUGGUUCCUUGUUGAAAGAUGGUUUCGGCUAUCACUUAAGGAUGGGCCCGCGGCGCAUUAGCUAGUUGGUGAGGUAACGGCUCACCAAGGCGACGAUGCGUAGCCGACCUGAGAGGGUGAUCGGCCACACUGGGACUGAGACACGGCCCAGACUCCUACGGGAGGCAGCAGUAGGGAAUCUUCCACAAUGGACGAAAGUCUGAUGGAGCAACGCCGCGUGAGUGAUGAAGGCCUUCGGGUCGUAAAGCUCUGUUGUUAGGGAAGAACAAGUGCGAGAGUAACUGCUCGCACCUUGACGGUACCUAACCAGAAAGCCACGGCUAACUACGUGCCAGCAGCCGCGGUAAUACGUAGGUGGCAAGCGUUAUCCGGAAUUAUUGGGCGUAAAGCGCGCGCAGGUGGUUUCUUAAGUCUGAUGUGAAAGCCCACGGCUCAACCGUGGAGGGUCAUUGGAAACUGGGGAACUUGAGUGCAGAAGAGGAAAGUGGAAUUCCAAGUGU